rnacentral:rRNA from 1 species
AUUACAAGCAACCGCUCAAAACCCUAAGGACUUGACGGUGCCCCGCACCAACCUAGAGGAGCCUGUCCUAUAAUCGACACCCCACGUUUUACCUUACCUACUCUUGUAUUUCAGUCUAUAUACCGCCGUCGCAAGUAUGCCUGUUGACAGAUCUAUAAGCUAGCACAACUGUUAUAGCACAAACACGUCAGGUCAAGGUGUAACUAAUGAGCAGGUUAGAGAUGGGCUACAUUUCUCACCAUGAGAAACCACCAACCAUAACAUGAAAAUAGACCCAAAGGUGGAUUUAGCAGUAAGAAUGGACAAGACAUGCCAUCCUGAAGCCCGUUCCGGGGCGCGU